GACGAACGCUGGCGGCGUGCUUAACACAUGCAAGUCGAGCGGUAAGGCCCUUUCGGGGGUACACGAGCGGCAAACGGGUGAGUAACACGUGGGUGACCUGCCCUCAGCUCUGGGAUAAGCCCGGGAAACUGGGUCUAAUACCGGAUAUGACUCCAUGACGCAUGUUGUGGGGUGGAAAGCCUUGUGCGGCUGAGGAUGGGCCCGCGGCCUAUCAGCUUGUUGGUGGGGUGANGGCCUACCAAGGCGACGACGGGUAGCCGGCCUGAGAGGGCGACCGGCCACACUGGGACUGAGACAC
rnacentral:rRNA from 1 species